GAGUUUCUCUUCGACGCUCGACGAUCAUUGACCAAAAAGAAUCUUAUUCGUUCGUUAUUCUUACAGAUUAGUGCAUUUUAUAAUUGAAAGCGGAUCGUCGUCGAUUUUUUAGUUUUUAACUAAUUAAUACGCAGUAGAAAGAAUAGUGAUUAACGACGAUUUAAUUCGAACGCUGAUUCGCGUCUUCUUCUGAUCUCGUAUUAUAUGUAUACAUAUACAUAUGUAUAUAUACAGUACAAAAGGCUAAAAGAUCAGACUAACGAAUGAAAGUGAUUACGCGGCGAAUAUGUACCGGUUCUUACACGAAUCUGACUAGAAAAAGGAAAUUGAAUUUUACCAUUUCUGUACAUUUGCCACGAUUAUGGUAAAAUACUACUAGCUUCUCUGAAAUAACCAGCAUUUCCCGACGCGACUGAUUAUUCAUAUACAAUUAUCAUAAUUUUUCAUUGCAAUGUGAAGUACAAGAACAUAGAUAUCGUGUCCAGAUAUCGUUUAAUAUAUAGAUAAAGGAAGCGAAUUUCCUCUUGUUACAUGUAAUACGGUAAAUAUGAAAUACGGAUAAAUACGGAAAAAGGAUAAGGAAAUUUUACGUAGACAAGACAAGACGUUGAGAUAAAAUCUAUGACAAAGAAUGAUUAAUUUUUUAUCAAGUUUUUGUUUCACCGAGUAGAACUGUAAAAUUUCAAGUAUUUUUACUGAAUCGCGAAAAAUCAAUGAUAAAGAAUGCGUUUAAUAUAUUCGAGUUCGCGUUCGUCCUGCUGGAUGAUUAUUUGAUGAUUAUAUGAAAUGAAAAUGAUAAUUAAGCAAAGGAUAGAACAUAAUGGAAUGAAAGCGUAAACUUUUACUGCUGACCUUUUAUACAAUCAUUUUAUUAUGUGUCACAAUUGAUAUUAUCGACAAUUCAUACCUCGAAUCUACAUAUAAUUAUCCAAUAUUUGUCUGCCGGAAUACACUACGUUAGUUCACUGCUUUACUGGCACUUCUGAGAUAUUGUUUUAAUCGCUAAUUUAAAUGCUAAUCGCCUCUGUGUUACGUGAACUUUAAAAAAAUACUCAAUUUUUGACUCCUUAUAGCAAGAGUUGAGCAAAUCUAUUUAAAAAUAUAGCACUAAUAACUAAGACAAGACUUUUAUAAUUAAUGUUUUAUAAAUGAAAUAAUUAAAUUAUAAUAAUUAUAUUAUAUUAAUUUUUAUAAAUAAUAUAAUUAAAUUUUAUAAUAACAUGUUUUUAUAAUUAAUUAACAUAAUACAUAAGAAUACACUGUUUAACAUUGUCAACAACUAUAACAUAAUCCGGAAGCAAUGUAUUUGGCAGUAUUAGGGUUAAAACGAAAUUCAGAAGGGAGAAAGAUAAUUUGCUCAUCCCUGCUUCAAAAACUAGAUGUAAAAAUUGAGCCGUGAGAACGAGAUUAUCUCUUCAUUUUUUUUCUAUCAAAAAUUGAUUAUUUUCGCGGGUAUAUAAUUAUCCAAUAAUCUUCGUCUACUUAACUACGUAACUG